rnacentral:rRNA from 1 species
GACGAACGCUGGCGGCGUGCUUAACACAUGCAAGUCGAACGGUAAGGCUCCAGCUUGCUGGGGUACACGAGUGGCGAACGGGUGAGUAACACGUGGGUGACCUGCCCUGCACUUCGGGAUAAGCCUGGGAAACUGGGUCUAAUACCGGAUAGGACCGCACCGUGGGGGUGGGGUGGAAAGUUUUUUCGGUGUGGGAUGGGCCCGCGGCCUAUCAGCUUGUUGGUGGGGUAAUGGCCUACCAAGGCGGCGACGGGUAGCCGGCCUGAGAGGGUGGACGGCCGCAUUGGGACUGAGACACGGCCCAGACUCCUACGGGAGGCAGCAGUGGGGAAUAUUGCACAAUGGGCGGAAGCCUGAUGCAGCGACGCCGCGUGGGGGAUGACGGCCUUCGGGUUGUAAACUCCUUUCACCAUCGACGAAGGGUUUCUGACGGUAGAUGGAGAAGAAGCACCGGCUAACUACGUG